CAAUAGCGUAUACUAAAGCUGUUGCGGUUAAAAAGCUCGUAGUUGGAUUUCUGUCAAGGACAACUGGUCCGCCCCUCGGGUGAGCACAUAGUUUGGUCUUGGCAUCUUGUUGGAAACUGUUGCUGCACUUGGUUGUGUGGCGCAGUGUCCAGCACUUUCACUUUGAGGAAAUUGGAGUGUUUCAAGCAGGCACAUGCCUUUGGACACAGUAGCAUGGAAUAAUUAGAUUGGGCUUUUGCUCCAACUUGUCGGUUUCUGGAGCUGAGGUGAGAAUUAAUGGGGAUUGUUGGGGGCAUCCGAAUUUAGCCGUCAGAGGUGAAAUUCUUGGAUCUGCUAAAGACGGACAACUGCGAAAGCGUUUGCCCAGGAUGUUUUCAUUGA
rnacentral:rRNA from 1 species